GGCCGCGGUAUCCUAACCGUGCGAAGGUAGCGUAAUCACUUGUUCUUUAAAUAAGGACUGGUAUGAAUGGCACCACGAGGGUUACACUGUCUCCUCUUUCUAAUCAGUGAAACUAAUCUCCCCGUGAAGAAGCUGGGAUUUUUUUAUAAGACGAGAAGACCCUAUGGAGCUUUAAACUACUAACACUUGCUGCCAUUCACUCCCCCUUCCAGAAACUUUUUAUUAAGCAUAGCAUCAUGAUUAAUAGUUUUCGAUUGGGGUGAUCGCGGAGUAAAAAACAACCUCCAUGCCGAAAGGGCUUCCUCCCCUGAGCCAAAAGCUACAACUUAAAGCACUAAAAAAUUAACGUUUAUUGACCCAAUAAUUUUGAUCAACGAACCAAGUUACCCUAGGGAUAACAGCGCAAUCCACUUCAAGAGCUCCUAUCGACAAGUGGGUUUACGACCUCGAUGUUGGAUCAGGGUAUCCCAGUGGUGCAGCCGCUACUAACGGUUCGUUUGUUCAACGAUUAAAACCCU
rnacentral:rRNA from 1 species